rnacentral:siRNA from 1 species
CGGCCUUAUUGGUUACGUGGUUA